rnacentral:rRNA from 2 species
AUCAUGAUUUACAUUUGAGUGAGUGGCGAACUGGUGAGUAACACGUGGGAAACCUGCCCAGAAGCGGGGGAUAACACCUGGAAACAGAUGCUAAUACCGCAUAACAACUUGGACCGCAUGGUCCGAGCUUGAAAGAUGGCUUCGGCUAUCACUUUUGGAUGGUCCCGCGGCGUAUUAGCUAGAUGGUGGGGUAACGGCUCACCAUGGCAAUGAUACGUAGCCGACCUGAGAGGGUAAUCGGCCACAUUGGGACUGAGACACGGCCCAAACUCCUACGGGAGGCAGCAGUAGGGAAUCUUCCACAAUGGACGAAAGUCUGAUGGAGCAACGCCGCGUGAGUGAAGAAGGGUUUCGGCUCGUAAAACUCUGUUGUUAAAGAAGAACAUAUCUGAGAGUAACUGUUCAGGUAUUGACGGUAUUUAACCAGAAAGCCACGGCUAACUACGUGCCAGCAGCCGCGGUAAUACGUAGGUGGCAAGCGUUGUCCGGAUUUAUUGGGCGUAAAGCGAGCGCAGGCGGUUUUUUAAGUCUGAUGUGAAAGCCUUCGGCUCAACCGAAGAAGUGCAUCGGAAACUGGGAAACUUGAGUGCAGAAGAGGACAGUGGAACUCCAUGUGUAGCGGUGAAAUGCGUAGAUAUAUGGAAGAACACCAGUGGCGAAGGCGGCUGUCUGGUCUGUAACUGACGCUGAGGCUCGAAAGUAUGGGUAGCAAACAGGAUUAGAUACCCUGGUAGUCCAUACCGUAAACGAUGAAUGCUAAGUGUUGGAGGGUUUCCGCCCUUCAGUGCUGCAGCUAACGCAUUAAGCAUUCCGCCUGGGGAGUACGGCCGCAAGGCUGAAACUCAAAGGAAUUGACGGGGGCCCGCACAAGCGGUGGAGCAUGUGGUUUAAUUCGAAGCUACGCGAAGAACCUUACCAGGUCUUGACAUACUAUGCAAAUCUAAGAGAUUAGACGUUCCCUUCGGGGACAUGGAUACAGGUGGUGCAUGGUUGUCGUCAGCUCGUGUCGUGAGAUGUUGGGUUAAGUCCCGCAACGAGCGCAACCCUUAUUAUCAGUUGCCAGCAUUAAGUUGGGCACUCUGGUGAGACUGCCGGUGACAAACCGGAGGAAGGUGGGGAUGACGUCAAAUCAUCAUGCCCCUUAUGACCUGGGCUACACACGUGCUACAAUGGAUGGUACAACGAGUUGCGAACUCGCGAGAGUAAGCUAAUCUCUUAAAGCCAUUCUCAGUUCGGAUUGUAGGCUGCAACUCGCCUACAUGAAGUCGGAAUCGCUAGUAAUCGCGGAUCAGCAUGCCGCGGUGAAUACGUUCCCGGGCCUUGUACACACCGCCCGUCACACCAUGAGAGUUUGUAAC